GCUUCAGUGGCCUAGUGGUUAGAGCAUCCGCCUCGGAUGAUGGAGGUUUGCGGGUUUGAACCCCGACCGAGUCA